UACAGAGGGUGCAAGCGUUAAUCGGAAUUACUGGGCGUAAAGCGCGCGUAGGUGGUUGGUUAAGUUGGAUGUGAAAGCCCCGGGCUCAACCUGGGAACUGCAUCCAAAACUGGCGGACUAGAGUACGGUAGAGGGUGGUGGAAUUUCGUGUGUAGCGGUGAAAUGCGUAGACAUAGGAAGGAACACCAGUGGCGAAGGCGACCACCUUGACUGGUACUGACACUGAGGUGCGAAAGCGUGGGGAGCAAACAGG
rnacentral:misc_RNA from 1 species